rnacentral:lncRNA from 1 species
UGAAGGAGAGAUCUUCAAUAAUCACGUGUAGAGGUAGGUGAAGAAGAUGUGAAAAUCAAUUUUAUGUAUCAGGUAGAAAUUAUGGGAAUGUUUUGUAUGAAAUGAUGAAUAUGAAGUUCGAUGAAGUGAUGAAGAUGAAGCAACUAAAGGUUACUUUUUACAAAAAUGGCUCCCUCUUUCAUUUCUACAUAUAUGUGCAUGAACUAUAUAAAUGCUAAUUCGAAAAUUGUACGAAUUGUGUUAAUGUCCUUUUUAAUUUUUGUAAGUUAGAUGUUUAGUAUUAAUGACCCUAAAGUUGGAUUUGGAUUCUACUCCAAAGUGUUGGGCAUUUGGUAAGUCUUUAAUCUAGAUUUGUAUUAAAAAUGUGAUUAUUUGGAUAAAAAAUUGUUUUAAGUUAUGUAAGUGGCAUGUUGCUGCAAUUGCUAUUGCUACAGGGAAGAGUAACAGUGGAGAGCUCAUAAUUUUUAAUCCCUUGCUACGAGGCAUUUGACCGAUAUGUGAAACUCGAAGGGACUAAAGGUUAUAGUGGCAUACGAACGCACGGGUGGAACAAUUGUAGGAAAAUCUAUCUUUUGGCUGUCCGAUAUAUUCAC